rnacentral:rRNA from 1 species
GUUCCCAUCCCGAACACAGAAGUUAAGCUUAUCUGCGCCGAUGGUACUGCAUGGGUGACUGUGUGGAAGAGUAGGUCGCUGCCAUCA